rnacentral:rRNA from 1 species
ACACGUAGGGGGCGAGCGUUGUUCGGAAUCAUUGGGCGUAAAGGGCGCGCAGGCGGCGAGGCAAGUCCGGUGUGAAAGUGCUCGGCUCAACCGAGUGAUGCGCUGGAAACUGCCCUGCUUGAGUACAGGAGGGGACGUCGGAAUUCCAGGUGUAGGGGUGAAAUCUGUAGAUAUCUGGAAGAACACCGGUGGCGAAGGCGGGCGUCUGGCCAUGUACUGACGCUGAGGCGCGAAGGUGCGGGGAGCGAACAGGUUUAGAUGCCCUGGUAGUCCGCACAGUAAACGAUGUGCACCAGGUGGCGGGGGGUAGCCCUCGGUACCGAAGCCAACGCAUUAAGUGCACCGCCUGGGGAGUAUGCUCGCAAGGGUGAAACUCAAAGGAAUUGGCGGGG